GGAAGUUCUUCAUCCUCUCUCAGUGGCAUCAGCAGAAAAUUGAUGUCUCAUACAUAGCUUCGGCUUACACAGAAUGACAUCUUUCAAACAGAGGUCACCCUCAUCAUCAAAGGGUUCAUCUACUUGGGGUUUAUCUAAGGCCACGGUCCAUGUGCUAUCUCCAACCCUCUACUCCACCAAACUUCUGGGAAAAUGCAGAUGACAUGUCUAAAGAAGAGGACCGAAAAGAGCUGAAAACCAAAGCCCCCAAAUGAAAUCCUUAUACUCCCGGAAGCAGCAGGACCUUUCAUUGCUGUCUCUGGGCUACAAGAAUCAAAGAGCAAAAUGGAUGUUUUCCUCUGAGAACUGGCACUGCACAGAAGGAAGGAAAUGCCUAUUCCAAUUCAAAAUUCAAGUCAUUAUAGUUGGAAUCUGAAUAAGUCUGUGCUAGAUGGUGUUAUGCAAUAUAUGGCAGAGGUGGAAGAAUGGAAUGUGCCCUGCUGAUUUACAAGGAGAAUUCAACCUAGCAGAGACUCGAGGACACACAUGCCAAUCAUGCCUAUGAGUAUGGACCGCUCCAUCUGAGAGUUCUAAGCAAAGAGUUCUCUUGGCUUCCUCAUCCACUGCUUGAGCAGGAUUAGAGGUGCCUUUCUUAUGCUUCAAUGCUCCCUUAUCUCCCCCUGCAUUGAGAAGAUGGUACCUAGCCACUCUGUUUUCUAUUUGGAUUGCCAGCCUGCAGUUUGUGCUUCUUAAGUGAAGUCAGAAACACUUAUGUUCUUAUUUUUAUCACCUAUUAAAGUUUGUGAUAUAUCUAA